rnacentral:rRNA from 1 species
UACGGGGGGGGCAAGCGUUGUUCGGAAUUACUGGGCGUAAAGGGCUCGUAGGCGGCCAACUAAGUCGGAUGUGAAAUCCCCAGGCUUAACCUGGGAACUGCAUCCGAUACUGGAUGGCUUGAAUUUGGGAGAGGGAUGCGGAAUUCCAGGUGUAGCGGUGAAAUGCGUAGAUAUCUGGAGGAACACCGGUGGCGAAGGCGGCAUCCUGGACCAAUACUGACGCUGAGGAGCGAAAGCCAGGGGAGCAAACGGG